rnacentral:rRNA from 1 species
GAUGAACGCUAGCGGCAGGCUUAACACAUGCAAGUCGAGGGGCAGCGAGAGAUGUGCUUGCACAUUUUGUCGGCGACCGGCGCACGGGUGCGUAACGCGUAUGCAACCUACCCAUAACAGGGGGGAUAACACUGAGAAAUUGGUACUAAUACCCCCGUAAUAUUACUGAAGGCAUCUUUGGUAGUUGAAAGUUCCGGCGGUUAUGGAUGGGCAUGCGUUGUAUUAGCUAGUUGGUGGGGUAACGGCUCACCAAGGCGACGAUACAUAGGGGGACUGAGAGGUUAACCCCCCCACAUUGGUACUGAGACACGGACCAAACUCCUACGGGAGGCAGCAGU